AGGGAGCCCUUGUGUCAGAAAGCACUACACCACAUACCAUAACAGAUGUGAGUAAAUGCCCACCAACACACAUACAAUGCAGCCAUGUAAUGGAACACUACCCAGCCACAAACAGGAGGGAAUGCUAUCAUGCUACAAUGUGGAGAAUGACGAAAAUGGGGGGAGUAAAAACCUGCAUGAGCCAGACUAUGCUCCACUGUGUGACAUAUCUAGAACAAGGUGUGCAGCCUGGUGGCUGGGCAGUGAGGGCUCCAGGGCAUGUGGAGGAGUAGAACGUGUUUCCUUCCACAUGGAGCAUCUUUCCAGGGUGGCGAAAUGCUCUGGAAUUAGCAUUGGAAGCCCCAGGUCAACCCUAAGAUCAGUGAGUUGACCCACCACUCUAAAGUUUUUUGGGACAUGAAUUAUGUACCAAGGG